rnacentral:rRNA from 1 species
GGCAAAAUGAGAGUCCGACUGUCUCUUAUAACGAAUCAAUUAAACUGAUCUCCCAGUACAAAAGCUGGGAUCUUUAUAUAAGACCAGAAGACCCUGUGAAGCUUUAACUAACCUAUUAAACCCCAUAAUAACUAGUUUCGGUUGGGGCGACCUCGGAAUGAAAAAGAACUUCCAAACAUAUGACUCACCCAUACAAAGGCAAACAAGCCAAAUUGACCCAGUAUACCUGAUUAAUGGACCAAGUUACUCCAGGGAUAACAGCGCUAUCUUCUUCAAGAGCCCAUAUCAAAAAGAAGGUUUACGACCUCGAUGUUGGAUCAGGACAUCCUAGUAAUGCAACCGUUACUAAGGGUUCGUUUGUUCAACGAUUAACAGUCCUACGUGA